UACGUGGGGUCCGAGCGUUGUCCGGAGUUAUUGGGCGUAAAGCGCGCGCAGGCGGCUUCGCGCGCCCGACGUGAAAGCCCCCGGCUUAACCGGGGAGAGUCGUUGGGGACGGCGGAGCUUGAGGGCGGGAGAGGUCGGUGGAAUUCCCGGUGUAGUGGUGAAAUGCGUAGAGAUCCGGAGGAACCCCAGAGGCGAAGGCGGCGCCCUGGCUCGCAACUGACGCUCAGACACGACAGCAUGGGGAGCGAACGGG
rnacentral:rRNA from 1 species